rnacentral:rRNA from 1 species
GUGCCAGCAGUUGCGGUAAUACAUAGGUGGCAAGCGUUAUCCGGAUUUAUUGGGCGUAUAGGGUGCGUAGGCGGUUUUGCAAGUUUGUGGUCAAAUCCCGAGGCUCAACCUCGGUUCGCCAUGAAAACUGCAUCACUAGAAUACAAGAGAGGUAAACGGAAUUCCAUGUGUAGCGGUGAAAUGCGUAGAUAUAUGGAAGAACACCUGUGGCGAAAGCGGUUUACUGGCUUGUUAUUGACGCUGGAGGCAACGAAAGCGGUGGGAGACAAAGUAGGAUUAGGAUACCCGUAGUACGUACC